GGGGUAAGUUGCUUAUAAAGGAGGGGAAACUCUGCUGUAAAGAAGGGAAGGAAACCCUGCCCGAGUAGGAGCCAAAAGCAAGCCGUUGGAAGGCACGAGCCCCUUGAAAUCCGUGCAAAACAGUAACCAAAACUGCAAGGUUUGGAUACAAAAAGGUCUCGGUUUUUAUAGAACAGUCCACUUGGAGCGACGUUUGGCCGUGAAUUUGUGCAACCAAGAAGUGGGAAGCUUCGAUCUGUCAGGCUCGGGCUCAAAGGGAGAAGGCCCAGAGGCGGCGCGAGUGUAGU